UACGUAGGGGGCAAGCGUUGUCCGGAAUUAUUGGGCGUAAAGGGCGUGUAGGCGGUAUCAUAAGUCAGAUGUGAAAGUUCGGGGCUUAACCCCGGAAUUGCAUUUGAAACUGUAAUACUUGAGUACUGGAGAGGUAAGUGGAAUUCCUAGUGUAGCGGUGAAAUGCGUAGAUAUUAGGAGGAACACCAGUGGCGAAGGCGACUUACUGGACAGAUACUGACGCUGAGGCGCGAAAGCGUGGGGAGCAAACAGG
rnacentral:rRNA from 2 species